rnacentral:sRNA from 1 species
UCAGGCCCUCUGGAAGAGCAGUCAAUGCUCUUAACCGCUGAGCCAUCUCUCCAGCCUGUCCCCUCUACUUUGAAGAUUCAAAAGUUUUAAGAUUGAUUAAUGGAGUACUGAUAAGCUGAUAAAGCACUGAUAACUAUUACCAAUCAAAAGAUGGAGAUUUUUAGAUUUCCUUUGCUCGUCGUCUCAGUAGACUUACCGGUGCUUGUCAUCAGUGCUGAAGCUCUGUCCAGCUCCUGGGACAGAGGACAGCUGUCAGGCUUUUUAACCCCAAGCUUUUGCUGUGACUCAGAGCUGUCACACCUGUUAGCUGUUCUUGUGACAAUGUGUUCUUCAGGACAGAUUACAAACUUAAAACUCCCAUGUCUUCUCGUAAACAGAAAAAGUCAUGUAAGCCCUGGGGAAUCUACAAAGUCAUAAGACUGGGGUCCACCUCUCACAGUCAGACAGACUCCAGGUAAGUAUAGCGUAAGUCUCCCCACCUGCCUACUCUUGAGGGUAGGACCUCCCCUUCCCCACAACCAGGACUGAAAAUUCCCACGUGUAUGAUUUUCAUUUAAGUUCCUAAACUUUAACCUCUGUCCCUAGUCUGUAUCUAUCUCAGCAGAUCUCCUCUCAGCUGACAGCAUCCAGAAAUCAGCUGCUGAUAAACUGCUCCAAAUGGCUGUGAGCCCUGGGCCUGCUGAGGCUGGUCCAGCCGAUGUGAUUCUCCUGGUCUCUUCAGCUAAGUCAGUGAACCAGAUGCUUCUGAUGAACGCUUUACUGCCUGAAUGCCCUCCCAGCCUUUGACUAGCAUUUUUGGCCCUGACUAUAAUGUUCUAAUUUCAGCAGAAAGUAGUUACAGACAAGAGCAUGUUACCUCUUAUCCUCUGCAAAAGAAAAACUCCUUGGCAGAGAGGACAAAAUGACUACCUAAAAUGCCUAUUGGCAUAACAGGAAAUGUCUUAGGGUUUUACUGCUGUGAACAGACCAUGACCAAGGUCCAGCAGAUACAGAAGAGCAGAUGGGAGACCCGGCCUUGUGGGAUGGAGUAACUACUGGAUUCCUGGACUUUCCAUCCACAGCUGGCUGUUGUUGGACGAGCUCGACUGCAACCUGUCUUCAAUGAGAAGGGGCAAUGAGACAGAAACAAACAUAACAUGUAUAUAUUGAAGAGAAGGAAAAGACCCUGGAGGCUUAGUAUUACACAGAAGGCUGGAACUGAGAUCAGCACCAGGAAGGACAGGCCUGCUCUGCCCAAGAGAACAAAGGGAAUGAGGUCCCCCAAGCAAAUCCACCCAGGUAAGCUCUCUUUCUGCAAGGCAAAGGUAGCCUGUGGCAGGGGAAUUCCUGUUUGAAGUCCUUAAUUCACUGUGUGAAGCUGUGAAAGUGAAGUCUGGGCUGCACUGAAAAUUCCAAGCUAUGGGAGAUGCCAGAUUCAUGGGACACCCGCCAAGGAGCGCCGCACACAGGAAAUGAAACCAUCCUGAGUUCUGUGCUGCAGGGCAGCGAGGCUGGACACACAGAGCCAUCUCAGCCACUGACAUCAGACAUAGAACUACACACAGGCUUUAGAGCUCACGUGUUGCUUUUGGUCUUUUAGUCGUUUUUCACCAAGCCCCCAUUCCUUCUUUUUGGAAUGGUAAUAUAUUCUGUGCCACUGUAUGUGAGAACUGUGUAAUUUGCCUUUUGAUUUUACAGGCGAUUACAAUUAAGAGAUUGUUUUGAGUCUCAGAAGCGUCUGUGGGCUUUUGAGCAGUGUUGAGACUGAGAAAGACUAUGGGAACUUUUGAUCUGAAUGUAGACUGCAGUUUGCUAUGGUUAUGGAGUCAAGUGGAAUGUGGUGGUUUGAAUGACAAUGGCUUUUUUUUUUUCUUUUUUUCGGAGCUGGGGACCGAACCCAGGGUCUUGCGCUUGCUAGGCAAGUGCUCUACCACUGAGCCAAAUCCCCAACCCCGACAAUGGCUUCUUAAAAGAUGUUUGAGCAUUUGGUCCCUGAUUCCGGGUGCUGUUUGGGUAGGCUCAGGAGGCUGUCUUUCUGGAAGCAUGUCACUACUUCCUGCUUAUUAAGGGUGCUGAGUUCCUGGGGGCAAGUUUGAUCUUCACAGUCAGGAUAUCUAAUUUCUUCUUUGCACACAACUACUUAAGAAACCACAACCAACAGCAAACAAAGCACCAGCCUACCAACCAACCAUCUACCCCUCUGAGGCCCUAGCACUUACACCCCCUCUGAAAAGCCCCCAGAAUUCAAAACCCACACAACUGCAGACACUAUCUGUAGCUGGCAAAAAUGAUGCUUCUGCCAGAACAUGAGGCAAAUCAUAGUCGGCCCCUGUGGCUGGUCGGACGCACACCCCUGAAGCACAGUCUGAAGCAACCCUAUACCUCGGAUUAAAAUGAAAACAUACUCUUGUAGUAUUUCUGCCUUUCGUUUUGCUUUUCUAAAGAAGCCGAGUUCUCACUGGUGUUGAGUGACAGUUCACUGCAGCCCUAGGUGUCCUAUUUGUUUCUACGUCUGAUACUCACCUAGCUUACUGCUGACUUCUGCUCUGACAGCGCUGCCAUGGACUGAUUCCUGUGCUGUGAAUGCAUUUGUCUGCUCCAGCUGCUUUCUUUGCAAAUCCCUUAAUUUUUUUUUUUAAGAACUCUUAACUGCUGAGUCAUUUUUCCUAUCCCUUGCUCUAUAUCCUUUUUAAAA